AAUGACCUCUACUCUCUCCCGAAUUAAACUUAAAAGUGAAAUAUCUCGUCAACGAGUUGCCGGAAAUCAAACAUUUUAACACCAAACUGUAUUUGAAGUAAUAAUUUAAGUCAUAAUCUAUUUACGUAAUUUUUAUCAUAGGUUCCCAUUGGAAAAAUCAAAAGGUGGUAUCGCCACAGGAUACUCUUAUAAAUGUUGCGAAAAUUCUAAAUAUUCGAAAACAACUACUUUACCUACACUUAAAAAUUCCAAAAGUCAGAAUUUUAAUGUACGCGAAACUUAAGCCAAAAAAUGAGAUGAGCACGUUUAGUGCAUCACCCUGUAUAUGUCAUAUUAUGGUAAAAUGAUAACAACAAUAUGCGUUUCCAUGACAACGAUAAUUAUUUG